UAGGGAAUCUUCGGCAAUGGGGGCAACCCUGACCGAGCAACGCCGCGUGAGUGAAGAAGGUUUUCGGAUCGUAAAGCUCUGUUGUAAGUCAAGAACGGGUGUGAGAGUGGAAAGUUCACACUGUGACGGUAGCUUACCAGAAAGGGACGGCUAACUACGUGCCAGCAGCCGCGGUAAUACGUAGGUCCCGAGCGUUGUCCGGAUUUAUUGGGCGUAAAGCGAGCGCAGGCGGUUUGAUAAGUCUGAAGUUAAAGGCUGUGGCUCAACCAUAGUUCGCUUUGGAAACUGUCAAACUUGAGUGCAGAAGGGGAGAGUGGAAUUCCAUGUGUAGCGGUGAAAUGCGUAGAUAUAUGGAGGAACACCGGUGGCGAAAGCGGCUCUCUGGUCUGUAACUGACGCUGAGGCUCGAAAAGCGUGGGGAGCGAACAGGAUUAGAUACCCUGGUAGUCCACGCCGUAAACGAUGAGUGCUAGGUGUUGGAUCCUUUCCGGGAUUCAGUGCCGCAGCUAACGCAUUAAGCACUCCGCCUGGGGGAGUACGACCGCAAGGUUGAAAC
rnacentral:rRNA from 1 species